rnacentral:tRNA from 1 species
GCGCGAGUGGUGAAAUUGGCAGACACGCAGGAUUUAGGUUCCUGUGCCUUAUGGCGUGGGGGUUCAAGUCCCCCCUCGCGCACAC